AUUGAACGCUGGCGGCAGGCCUAACACAUGCCAGUCGAGCGGAUGAAGGGAGCUUGCUCCUGGAUUCAGCGGCGGACGGGUGAGUAAUGCCUAGGAAUCUGCCUGGUAGUGGGGGAUAACGUCCGGUCACGGGCGCUAAUACCGCAUACGUCUUGAGGGAGAAAGUGGGGGAUCUUCGGACCUCACGCUAUCAGAUGAGCCUAGGUCGGAUUAGCUAGUUGGUGGGGUAAAGGCCUACCAAGGCGACGAUCCGUAACUGGUCUGAGAGGAUGAUCAGUCAGACUGGAACUGAGACACGGUCCAGACUCCUACGGGAGGCAGCGGUGGGGAAUAUUGGACAAUGGGCGAAAGCCUGAUCCAGCCAUGCCGCGUGUGUGAAGAAGGUCUUCGGAUUGUAAAGCACUUUAAGUUGGGAGGAAGGGCAGUAAGUUAAUACCUUGCUGUUUUGACGUUACCAACAGAAUAAGCACCGGCUAACUACGUG
rnacentral:rRNA from 1 species